UACGGAGGGUGCGAGCGUUGUCCGGAUUUAUUGGGUUUAAAGGGUGCGUAGGUGGCUUGUUAAGUCAGUGGUGAAAUACAGCCGCUCAACGGUUGAGGUGCCAUUGAUACUGACAAGCUUGAAACAAGUGGAGGUUGCCGGAAUGGAUGGUGUAGCGGUGAAAUGCAUAGAUAUCAUCCAGAACACCGAUUGCGAAGGCAGGUGACUACGUUUGAUUUGACACUGAGGCACGAAAGCAUGGGGAGCAAACAAGG
rnacentral:rRNA from 1 species